AAACUUCUAUUUUUGGAAAGUUUUCAUUUUUUUGAGGAAUAUUUUAGAUUUGCGUUUGUUAUUUAGAAAUUCGGAUAACAAGAAUAUUUGUGGAUAGUUGAGUAUUUUUUCUGAGUUUUUCAUGAAUAGGUUGUAUUUUUGAAUAAUUGUUUAAAAACUGCUAUUUUAGGAAAGUUUUCAUUUACUAGAGAAAUACUGUAGAGUUUGUGAUUCAGAAAUUAGAAAAACAAGAAUAUUUCUAGAUAGAUGAGGAUUUUUUUCUGAGUUUUUCAUCAAUAUGUUGUAGUUUUAAAUAAUUUUCUUAAAAUUUGAUAUUUUUGGAAAGUUUUCAUUUAUUCAAGAAAUACUGUAGAUUUGAGUUUUUUCUGAGUAUUUUCAUGAAUAGUUUGUAUUUUUAAAUAAUUGUUUUAAAAACUGCUAUUUUAAGAAGAGUCAGAAACAAAUUGAUUGUUGCUCACAACUCUUUACUUAAUGGAUGAACUUGGAUUGAGAUAAAAGAUUUUCUCUAAUCGCGGAAGAACUAGAUGAUUCAUAGUUAUAAUAUCUUUAGUGGUUUGUAGCUUAAUGGAGUUUUAUUAAUUUUGGUUACAUAUAAAUAUAUUAUGUGCAAAGACCUUGUAAUGAUGUAUAAUAUGUUUAUAUUAAUAUGAUAUUUUUUUGACAGCGAUAUAUAUAUAUGUAUUUCUCUUAUUUCAUACAUAAAUCUACAUAAAAUUUAUAAAUUCUACAAACAUAUAACUCUAAAUAUUAUAAAAUAUCUAUGAUAUGGCCAUACGAACUGUAUAAUUUAUAUAAGCUUGUAUAUAACCUAUAAAUUAUAUUACGUGUGGAACAUCCACUUAAUAAACCGUUUAUUUAAAUAGUAAUGUUUGAUAAAGUGUUUUAUUGAUAUUUCGUUUAAAUAAACUUAUAAUUCUCAAAAUAGCAAUAUCUUUGAGAAUAUAAAAAUUAAUUUCACGCAUAAAACCACAUCCUUCUAUUUAUUUAUAGGAACACGAACGAGUUUAAAGCUUUCACAUAUUAUAUGAGCAAGAAAUUUGGAAUUUUUCUAAAUUGGAUUCGCUUAAAUCGGAACAUAAAAGUAUGAAUAGCUUAAAUUAGAUAUUUUUAUUAUAUAUAUAUAUGUAAGAAUACUUCUUCUUCUAUUGUAAAAAAUAGAAUACUUCAUCUAUUUCCUUUUUUUUUUAACUCACUAUCAAUUCAUUUCUAUUAUUGAAGAUGGGGAAAUCCAUUCAACUCUUGGUCACCUUCUUAACUAUCUUCAUCAUUCUUUCACUAGGAAUGAUGGCAGAUGCGCAAAAAAAAGAAGCAAAAAUAUGUCCUUACAAACUCCAAAUUGACAAAACCAAGCGUUGUGUUCCACUAAACUGUAAGGAUCUGUGUAAGAAGAAAUAUGGACCUACUGGUUCUGGUAGUUGUUCAGAGGAAAAGGGAUUUUGUAACUGCACAGCUAAUUGUAAGGGUUCUCGUUAAGUGUUGUUAAUAAUAAUACACAACCAAAA